GUAAAGAAUAGCCACAAGGGAAAAGGGAACUCUCCUAUGCGAACCCUAAUUAAAAGAUUAGGCAAAAGAUAUCAGAAUUUAGGCACUUCUUGUGCUGCUGUUAAUAGAUCUUUUGGCUUUUUCAAAAAAAAAAAAAAAGAUUAGGCAAAAGCUAAUCUCAAACGACUCUUGUUGUUGUUGCUCCUUGCGUUUUUUUCCCAUGUUGUUGUUCGCCGAUGCGUCGUGUACCCUCAGUGCUAAAGUCAUAAGUACCACCGAGUUGCUUCAAUUGGAACAAAACGCAAAAACAGGUGCACGUUAUGAACAUAGAGCUUCCACCGCCGAAGGAGCAAUAUAUUUUAUAUUUUGAGCAAAUUCAGAUCAGUUUCCGAAGCAUCAAUUUCGACAUGUUCUGCAGUUGUCGCAUUUUCGGCGUUGUUGCAUUCUUGCUUCUUUGAGUUGUUGUGUUCUCGUUGUUGCUACAUUCAUUCUUCAUUAUGUUGUUCAGCAAGAUAUCAAUGAAGAAGAUGAUGAGAAUGACGAUUUAAGUGAUGAGGAUGAAAUAGGUGAUGAACUUCAAUAGGACGACAUAAAUGAUGAACUUCAAGAGGACGACAUAGGUGAUGAAGAGGAUGAUGAAGAUGACGAUGAGUUUGACAAAUUUAAAUGAGUUAGACGUUGUUGUUAUAGGCUUGUACUUACGCAUUAAGCUUAAAGAAGUUAUGUAUUUACUAGACUCAUACUUCUAAGUGUUAGCUUAUAGUAUUAAGUGAUGCCAGACAUUUUGUGUUUCUUAAGUGUAUUUGAGUUAAUGUUUGAAGAUUUUAUUGACACAGCUUUUGUGGUACAUGCAAUUUAUGAUUGAUGCAAUUCUUCUUUGAGUUCUUUAUUUUAUAAAAUAUAUGGUAAAAAAAAUUUCUAAGUAACUUAUAGAAACAUUUAUUAAGCUUUCUUAUUAUUUCACUUUUAGGGAACAAUUUGUAAUAGUUAU